GUGGUUGUAGCUCAGUUGGUUAGAGCGCUUGACUGUGGCUCAAGAGGUCGCCGGUUCAAAUCCGGUCAGCCACCCCA
rnacentral:tRNA from 1 species